AGAGUGUAAUUCAGCCAAGGAUGACUUGCCGGCACAGCCUAUAUAUGUCUUCUACUCACAGCUGCUAGCUACCGGCAAGUUGUUCUUGGCUACAUUGUACUCUUU
rnacentral:pre_miRNA from 9 species